AUCUUAUUAAAUUUUUUAAAGAGUAUCAAAUUAAUUUUGAUAAAUAUAUUAUUUUAUUAUAUUAAUAAUAGAAUUUACAGAAUAAUAGUUUCACCGGUAGCACCAGCGUGGCCAGGUUGUCAGCUGUUCGAAACGACCAAAACCAAAACCCCCUACGGAAGUUUUUCCCAACUGAAAAAACUAAAAACCCAAAUACAACAUAACUUGAAUCGUCAUCUUCCGAAUUUCAUCAUCAUCAUCAUCAUCACUAUUAUUCCUAUUAUGAUCGAUUCGAUUCAAUUCAACUCCAUGCCCAUACAAUAA